UACGAGGGGUGCAAGCGUUGCUCGGAAUUAUUGGGCGUAAAGGGUAGGUAGGUGGUCUCAUUUGUCUGGGGUGAAAGCCUUGAGCUUAACUCAAGAAGUGCCCUAGAAACGGUGAGACUGGAGUCUUGGAGAGGGUCGUGGAAUUCCCGGUGUAGCGGUGGAAAUGCGUAGAGAUCGGGAGGAACACCAGAGGCGAAGGCGGCGACCUGGACAAGUACUGACACUCAACUACGAAAGCGUGGGUAGCAAACAGG
rnacentral:rRNA from 1 species